ensembl:lincRNA Gm16157 predicted gene 16157
AUGGCAUCCCCUAAGACCUCAGAGGUGGCCGGCUCAAGAAAGUAUCUUCAAAUCCUGAAACUGGGCGGGAAGAGGCAUGGCAUCCAGGAAUCUUUUCUGCCGGUUUCAGAGUCCCAACAGUCUCCUGGAAACUGUAAUGUGCCUACGAUUUACUAAAAAGCCAAGCAGGAGCUCAUUUGACAAAGCAAUAUUCAAGGUCGACAAUUCUUCUCCAGUAUACACAGCUGUUUCAAAACGUUGCUUUGGGAGGAUGCAGCGAGGUCCUGAGUUCAAUUCCCACCAACCACAUGGUGGCUCACAACCAUCUGUAAUGGAAUCAGAUGCCUUCUGCCGCUGUGUCUGAAGACUGUACUCACAUAUAUAAAGAAUUUGAUCAGUUUGAUGAAAUUUCAUUGAUGUCAACUCUCCAGCUGUCUGUGCCUUACCAAAAGCUGUUUGCCUCCAAGACAAUAAACAGCCCGUGUGAUCCUUUCUCUUGCUUAAGCAGGAAGUCACCACUCAACAGGAAGGAAUUUAAAACCAAUCCCACAAAAU